rnacentral:rRNA from 1 species
GAUGAACGCUGGCGGCGUGCCUAAUACAUGCAAGUCGAGCGAACAGAUGAGGAGCUUGCUCCUCUGACGUUAGCGGCGGACGGGUGAGUAACACGUGGAUAACCUACCUAUAAGACUGGGAUAACUUCGGGAAACCGGAGCUAAUACCGGAUAAUAUAUUGAACCGCAUGGUUCAAUAGUGAAAGACGGUUUUGCUGUCACUUAUAGAUGGAUCCGCGCCGCAUUAGCUAGUUGGUAAGGUAACGGCUUACCAAGGCAACGAUGCGUAGCCGACCUGAGAGGGUGAUCGGCCACACUGGAACUGAGACACGGUCCAGACUCCUACGGGAGGCAGCAGUAGGGAAUUUUCCGCAAUGGGCGAAAGCUUGACGGAGCAACGCCGCGUGAGUGAUGAAGGUCUUCGGAUCGUAAAACUCUGUUAUUAGGGAAGAACAAAUGUGUAAGUAACUAUGCACGUCUUGACGGUACCUAAUCAGAAAGCCACGGCUAACUACGUG